UGAUCAUGAUCAUGAUGAUGAUCAUGAUGAUGAUCAUCAUCAUGAUCAUGAUCAUCAUCAUGAUCAUGAUCAUCAUCAUGAUCAUGAUCAUCAUCA
rnacentral:pre_miRNA from 1 species